UUUAUACUGUAUUUAUUCUAGAUUAUAAACAUCUUAAUUGUGGUUACAGGUUUAAAUAAAUGUAUGUUUUAAAAAUGUUUGUAGUCACUAUAGUUAUAUAGUUAUAUAGUUAUAUAUGAUGUUUAAUUGAUAUCUAACACAAAUUUUGUUUAUUUUCUGUUCUUUUUUUAUGUUGUUUUUAGUAGUAAACAAUAGUUAGUAGAAUAGUUACAUUUGCCCAAGAUUCAAUUAAUCGCAGAAAACUAGCAGCAUUUUUACUUGUGGGGAUUUUCAGAAAAAUAGUUAGUAUUUGCAGGAGGUACAAAAGAGACUGAGUGUGACAUCAUUGUAACUUUUGUGUCACGAGAAGGAACUGAUAUUAAAAGAGCAAAGACAGAGCCGGAAACUGUUUCAGAUGGUCCAUCACAGAGCCCUGACAAACAGGAAAAUGUGGAAAACAAUGCAGAAGCUCACAAAAAUGAUCAGACGUUAAUGGAAA